rnacentral:lncRNA from 1 species
CAGGAAAUGUCCAGUGGAACUCCAUGAAGUCCCUCGAGUCGUCUUUGCACCGCUGAGCCAGGUAUUAGAGGACCCACAGCACACUUCUGAGCCUCGUUUCUGCCUCUCUUACCUACCACAAACUCUGGACAAUCAGCUCGCCCAUUUGUUCCUUCAUUCCCAAGGAGAACAUGAGGAAAAGACGUAGAUAUCACCCAAAUGUAUAAUUUACCAGCCUCCUUGUGGGAGUCCAGUAUCCCAACCCCAUCUUGGGAGAUGCCGCUGGUCCAACCUCAGGAUCUCCUAAUGGAGUCAAGAGGUAAGGCCGAUUUGAAUUCACCCUUCUUCUCCUUAAAGCUAGUGCAACUCACAGAAAAUUGAGAGCCAAAUGGGAAACAAACUGUCAGUUUUCCUAACGGGUAGGCAGGUGUGUCUUAACCCCCAAGGCUUUCUGGGGGAGCCAGAGAGGAGAAAGUGACUUAGACCUGAGGACAAAGGAGAUCCACCUGCUUCUCUAAUUGUAGACCUUAAGCCUGCCUGUCACAUGGACUGUAGCGUACUGAGCACAGGGGUGGUACCGGGCAGGUACAGCUCCCAGCACUCUGCUGUGGACAUCCUAACUCGCUAGAAAGCUUCUCCACUCAUCAGGGUAAGAAGUCUGGCCACCAAGCUUAUGAAAUUUUGUGUCUGACAUCUCUAUCCAUGGAGAGAAGUCAACUGGAUUCUUUAAGCUCAAGUUCCAACACCACAGGAAAGAACUCUCAAUAUAAACCACGUAACUGUGGCCCAAAAAGGGACCAGAGAAGGAAAUGACAGCUUCUGGGGACACUUUAUGGAGUUUAAAAAGGUCCAAUUCUUAGAAGGAAGGAAAAGGGA